GAUGAACGCUGGCGGCGUGCCUAAUACAUGCAAGUCGAGCGGAGAAAUUAGCAAUAGUUUCUUAGCGGCGAACGGGUGAGUAACGCGUUGGUGACCUGCCUCGAAGAUUGGGAUAACAGUUCGAAAGGACUGCUAAUACCGGAUGUGAUCAUAGAGACUAGAGGCUUAAUGAUUAAAGGAGAAAUUCGCUUCGAGAGGGGCCUGCGUCCCAUCAGCUAGUUGGUAAGGUAAAGGCUUACCAAGGCGAUGACGGGUAGGGGACCUGAGAGGGUGGCCCCCCACAAUGGAACUGAAACACGGUCCAUACACCUACGGGUGGCAG
rnacentral:rRNA from 1 species